AUGAUACUCCCUCCGUCCGGAAAUACUUGUCGGAGGAAUGGAUGUAUCUAGAUGUAUUUUAGUUCUAGAUGCAUCCAUUUUUAUGCAUUUCUUCGACAAGUAUUUCCGGACGGAGGUAGUACUAG
rnacentral:pre_miRNA from 1 species